rnacentral:rRNA from 1 species
UGACGUGCAAAUCGUUUGUCAAACCUGGGUAUAGGGGCGAAAGACUAAUCGAACCAUCUAGUAGCUGGUUCCCACCGAAGUUUCCCACAGGAUAGCUGGAACUUUUGACAGUUUUAUCAGGUAAAGCGAAUGAUUAGAGGCCUUGGGCGCGAAACGCACUCAACCUAUUCUCAAACUUUAAAUAGGUAAGAAGCCCGACUUGCUUAAGUGAAGCCGUGGCACUGAAUGUGAGUUCCAAGUGGGCCAUUUUUGGUAAGCAGAACUGGCGAUGCGGGAU